rnacentral:rRNA from 1 species
UGCCCGCAAGGGAAUGUAGUGAGAGGUGCUGCAUGGCUGUCGUCAGCUCGUGUUGUGAAAUGUUGGGUUAAGUCUCGCAACGAGCGCAACCCCUACCGUCUGUUGCCAGCAUUAAGUUGGGCACUCUGACGAGACUGCCUGGGUUAACCAGGAGGAAGGUGGGGAUGACGUCAAGUCCUCAUGGCCCUUAUGUCUAGGGCUACACACGUAAUACAAUGGCGCGUACAAAGGGAAGCGAACUAGCAAUAGGGAGCAAAUCUCAAAAAGCGCGCCUCAGUUCGGAUUGAAGUCUGCAACUCGACUUCAUGAAGUUGGAAUCGCUAGUAAUCGGAGAUCAGCACGCUCC